AAGACUAUACUUUCAGGGAUCAUUUCUAUAGUUAUUUACUCGGAAGUGUGAAUCAAAGUGUGAGUCUCCUAAUCUACGAUGAAGAGUUUUGAAACUUCUUUCUGAGCGUAAAUCAGAUACUCUGUAGUGAAUUAUUUCACACGCAUUGUAUCGUUGAUGAACGCACCACAUUACCUUCUGGUGACGUGGUAGAUAGGAGUUUUAACAGAGUAGC